GUUUUUAUUGUGUUUUGUAAGAAUGAUACCCCUCGUUAACCAGGCAUCCUCUUCUCUCAGCGCUGUCACUCUGUACGGACCUGAGGAAACGGCACCCAGUCCCUAAACCAUCAAAGGAGAAACGGCUUUUCUGCCUGCUGUUUUUAAGAACUUAAAAUGGGCGAAUUUACAGUCUCUGUACGGCAUGGUGUCUUAUCCCACCUGGAGAAGUUGGAGGCUAGUGCCCACACUGCAGCCCUCGAACAAGGGGAGAGACGCCAACAUGCGGAGAAGGUGGCCAGGAUGGAAGCCAGGAUCCAGGAACUCAAACGUCAGAGAGAUCAGCUGAGGGCCAAGCUGAACGCUUGUCGUUCUCGGUUCAAUAGGCACAAAGACUCUGCAGAAAGUAAUUCUCAGGCAGCGGCACCUACAGAGCUGAGCCAACAAGCCCUCUUGGAGUGGAAAAUGGGGAACGUCAAGGGUUUGCUGCAGUUGUUUCGGCUGACAGGCUUCAGUGGGAGACUGACCCAGCACAGAGCCUGCCUGUGCAUCACCACUGCCUUCCAGGGCACCUACCUGGACUCCUACCACCUGGACCUCCUUAUGCAGGAACCAGUCCAGAUCCAGCACCACUCGGUCCCGGCCUUCAUCCCCUUGGAGCAAAUCGCCGCCAAGUACCUGCAAACAGACCUCAAGCGCUUCUUGUCCGAGCUCUCCGAUCACCUGAACGCGUACGCGGGGAGGAAAUUCCAGGCAGAGCAGUUAAAGGAACAUUUUGCUGCUUUCCUGAAAGGACCCUUGCGAGGAAAUUCCUUGCACAACCUACUGGAAUUCAGCUACGGUGUGUCAGAAGCAGCACCCUUUCCUUUCACAGUGAAGCUCAUUUAUGGAGAUCCUGUGAGCACCCUUCCCACAGAAGCCACUGUCACAUGUGAAGAAGACGCGCCUGGCUCUUCCGCAGAGAUGGCAGCCCUUCAUCAGGCCUGGCUGCUCGAGAAACCUCUCCACCAGGCCUUGAGCUCCGUCACCGUGUCAGCAGGAAGCCCGAGUCCAUUGGUCCCGCUGGAGUCGCCUGCUCCCUCCACAGCCGUGCCUCCCGUGGAAGAAGGCCUCCUUCCAAGGCGUCCGCAGUGUAGAUUCUCUCCAAAAGCACAAAAGGCAGCCCUGAGCACUAUGGAUUUUUCUCACUCAGAAAGCGACGAGUGAGUGUCUAGGGAAGCUGAAGUUUGAUAUUACCCUGAUGGGGAAAGAUUGCACUUUCAAAGUUUCAGCGUAAAUUUGAAGAAUGAUGGAGCACACACCACUGAAAUCUGUUGGAUUAACCACCUCCUCUUGAGUCAAGACAAGGUGGAAUAGCAGCCUCUUUGCUUUUCCAUCUGCAGUCAGUCAUUUCAGCAGGAGGUUCCCGCGGCAGCCGUGUGGAAGAAUCCUUCCUGCUACCCUGACCAUGAAGGCAGGCUUAUGGUUCGUCAUUUGCCGUACAGGCUCACCCCUUGCUGCUGAGACUUCCCCAGUGUUCUAAUGGUCCAAAUUUGAAAGCAGAAGAAAGGGGAAGUUUCUUGGUGUUCCCCAGAGAAUUGGCCUUGGGCUGAGGUGGCUGAAAUCCCAUUUCAGAAGCAGCUGAGAGUUUUGCAAAAGUGACUGAAAUGUUGUAAACAACCUUUGGCCGUGUGUAGUGCAGCUGCUCUUAUCUGGAUGAAUGCGCCAGACCCCAAUCGGAAAAAGACUGCAAGACUGCUCUGGUGAGAGGCGGAUCCAGGAAAGGCAAAUAAAAUCAAGAUUGCACAAGCAAACAGUGGCCUGUCGUCCCCCCCCCGCCCGCCCCCGGGCCACCAGCAGGUGCAUCUCCCCAGAGAACUCUGGCGAUGCGGAGGUACAGAAAUAAAGAGUAUUACUGGCAGAAUGAGAGUUCAUUUCAGUACUUGAUUAUUCUCUUGAGUUUGAUAGUAUAGGCAGCUACUUCAGCAGUAGGUUUACCCAAUAAAUCCAUUUUUUUCAGGGGCUUUCUCUGUCAUUGCAUGAUUAGCUUGGUACUGGCUAGGUAUAUCUGGGCAAGUAUUACCAUGCCUUCCAGUUAAGCAAUGCUGCUUUUCCAACACUGCUCUUUUUAAGCCCUUAUUUAAUCCUAGGAGUUAAUUGCCUUGCAGUCUCAUUUAUCAGUGCCAAUAAAAUUGCUAUAAAUAAGUUCACCAAAUAACAUUAGCAUUACUGCUAACAAUUGUUUUAAACUGCUGCUUAUUAAGUAGCAUGCUGCUAAAUUGCUGCUGCUGGAAUUUUAAUCAGGCCAUGUUUUAAUGUUUGUUGGGCCAUCAGUGGCGAUGUGCUUCACCCACCUCUGCCCACCGAUUUGCAUCUGUACAGCAUGGCCGCUUUCCGCCGCUUACUCCUCUUUAAGCACAGAACGGCUCAAAAUAAACCAUUUGUGGUUUGCUUAGUAAUGAGAAAGGUGGCCCUGGUGGUGGAUUUGGAGACCUGGCUGGACGCCGCAGCUGGACUUGGCCAAAUUUUUUCCAAAUGGGACACCUCUGCAGAAGCACAUCAAGAAUCCAGAAGGGUUUAUUGCCUCUUACCACGUGGCAGGCCAAGCUGGAAUGGGUCUUGGCCAAACCGAAGGCACACCAGCUGUCAGCCUACGUUUUGCAGCCGCGUAUUGACUGGGAGUGGUUUUGUGGCAAAGGGGAGCUCCAUUUGGACUGGGAACAAACGGCUCACAAAUGGCCCGAGCCCGCCUGAGUUUGCGCAGCCACAGCCUCUCGCGUGGCCUGAUGCAUCCAAGGUGAUCGACCCAAGCGGCGCCGCGGUUGUUCUGCCUCCCGCUCCCAGUUCCAGUCCCAAAAGUGCAGCAGGCCACGUACGUGUGCGAAGGACAGGACCCCCUCCCAGGACCACCCCCUUCCUGCUCCCCUGGCUAAAUCAAGAGGCGAACGCAGACACUGAUAGCAAAGGGGGCCUCCUUCCGAACGACAAGCCUCCAAGAAGAAAGGAUGGGUUGGCGCCUCUACAUCUAACGGUGUGAGAGGAGUACCUAGCAAUCUCCCGUCCGGAGACAGAGCUGCCUGCCCUCGGGCAUCGAAGAGGCCCCUGCUCCUCAGCGGCGUGGCGCUUGGAAGCCUU